AUUGAACGCUGGCGGUAGGCCUAACACAUGCAAGUCGAACGCGAAAGUCCUUCGGGAUGAGUAGAGUGGCGGACGGGUGAGUAACGCGUAGGAAUCUAUCCUGUAGUGGGGGAUAACGUUUCGAAAGGAACGCUAAUACCGCAUACGCCCCAAGGGGGAAAGCGGGGGAUCUUCGGACCUCGUGCUAUAGGAGGAGCCUGCGUCGGAUUAGCUAGUUGGUGAGGUAAAGGCUCACCAAGGCGACGAUCCGUAGCUGGUCUGAGAGGAUGAUCAGCCACACCGGAACUGAGACACGGUCCGGACUCCUACGGGAGGCAGCAGUGGGGAAUAUUGCGCAAUGGGCGAAAGCCUGACGCAGCCAUACCGCGUGUGUGAAGAAGGCCUUCGGGUUGUAAAGCACUUUCAGUGGGGAGGAAAAGCUGGUGGCUAAUAUCCAUCGGCCGUGACGCUACCCACAGAAGAAGCACCGGCUAAUUCCGUGCCAGCCGCCGCAGUAA
rnacentral:rRNA from 1 species